rnacentral:lncRNA from 1 species
UGCUGGGCUUUUCUACUGUGGGCUUCUCCAUCUUGGGCUACUGUGGGUCGAAUUUGAGGUGCCAAAAUCCAUCAAUCUUCAUCUCAACUCAACAUUCGGCCUCCACCUAAUUUUGAGAGCUUCUGGAUGAUCUCAUCCCCAUGUACUGGGAUAAAUACCUGGCUACUCAUGGAUUGACAAACAUGAGAGUCGAGCUAGGCUC